rnacentral:rRNA from 1 species
UAAAGCGUGCGCAGGCGGUUUUGUAAGACUGUCGUGAAAUCCCCGGGCUCAACCUGGGAAUGGCGAUGGUGACUGCAAGGCUAGAGUUUGGCAGAGGGGGGUAGAAUUCCACGUGUAGCAGUGAAAUGCGUAGAUAUGUGGAGGAACACCGAUGGCGAAGGCAGCCCCCUGGGUCAAAACUGACGCUCAUGCACGAAAGCGUGGGGAGCAAACAGGAUUAGAUACCCUUU